ACCGUUUACACAACACGGGUGUCAAACUCAACUUCCCUAAGGGCCACACUAGAAAAUGAGACUUUCAUCAAGAGCCAGACACAGAAUGUAUUGCUUUUAUGUCAUGGGGAAAGUCAAAUAUCUUUGACUACAUUAUUGCAUGUCUCAUUUAGUCUUCUCACUCACAGUUUGGUCAACAAAAA